rnacentral:rRNA from 1 species
AGUGAACGCUGGCGGUAGGCCUAACACAUGCAAGUCGAACGGCAGCACAGUAAGAGCUUGCUCUUACGGGUGGCGAGUGGCGGACGGGUGAGGAAUACAUCGGAAUCUACUUUUUCGUGGGGGAUAACGUAGGGAAACUUACGCUAAUACCGCAUACGACCUACGGGUGAAAGCAGGGGAUCUUCGGACCUUGCGCGAUUGAAUGAGCCGAUGUCGGAUUAGCUAGUUGGCGGGGUAAAGGCCCACCAAGGCGACGAUCCGUAGCUGGUCUGAGAGGAUGAUCAGCCACACUGGAACCGAGACACGGUCCAGACUCCUACGGGAGGCAGCAGUGGGGAAUAUUGGACAAUGGGCGCAAGCCUGAUCCAGCCAUACCGCGUGGGUGAAGAAGGCCUUCGGGUUGUAAAGCCCUUUUGUUGGGAAAGAAAAGCAGCAGGUUAAUACCCCGCUAUUCUGACGGUACCCAAAGAAUAAGCACCGGCUAACUUCGUG